GUCCUUAGUUACCAGCACGUUAUGGUGGGCACUCUAAGGAGACUGCCGGUGACAAACCGGAGGAAGGUGGGGAUGACGUCAAGUCAUCAUGGCCCUUACGGCCUGGGCUACACACGUGCUACAAUGGUCGGGUACAAAGGGUUGCCAAGCCGCGAGGUGGAGCUAAUCCCAUAAAACCGAUCGUAGUCCGGAUCGCAGUCUGCAACUCGACUGCGUGAAGUCGGAAUCGCUAGUAAUCGUGAAUCAGAAUGUCACGGUGAAUACGUUCCCGGGCCUU
rnacentral:rRNA from 1 species